UGUAGCUCCACCACAAGUAUAAAUCCUACCCAGAAUCCCUAAAAAAAAUCCUAAAACAUCCCUAUUGCAAAUUAAAUGAAAUCAGUGAGAAAUGUAUUUUUCCCAUUCCUUAGCAAUUGAGUUCCUAUCUCAUACUCAAACGUCAAUGUCAGUGGUGAGCACCUUGCGUGUAUAACAGUUUGAACGAAAGGGUCAACACUUCACUGGGCCUUAUUUUACCCGCAAACAGAUGGAGCGCAGGUGACGGGAAGAAUAGGGUGCAUUAACGCAUAGAAUCCAUACAUAACGUAUGUUUGACCUGAUGCCGUUUGAUAUAAAAGGGGUUACAAAGAGAAAAACCGCUCUCUUUCGCUUGUGAUCCCUGACCGAUUCGUAGUGCGCGCGUGUGUAGAAUAUUUCCGGAGUUUGAGGUUAACUUUGACUACCUCAUUAAAUUGUGGAGAUUUUAAAACUCAGUGUUUCUUUUCUAGAAUAGGCUAAAUCGUCAUUGGUAGUGACUAAAUCAAAAUUAGUAGUAAUCGACCCUAAAAGUUAAAAUAAUGGUUAGUGUUAGUGGGGUUAGUAAAUGUUAAAACUUUUCCUAUUGUAAAAUAUUUCCUAAAGUUAUAGUCAGUGCGACAAACCUAACCUAAAAGUGGACAGAGCGUUCCUAAUACUAGCUACAAGAAAAAGUGAAGCUCUACGAGUGGUCCACAAAGGGCCAAAUCUCCAACCCUUCAUCGGCGCACCACGGUCAGAAGGAAGCGAAAGCGACGGCUGACUACGUUUCCGGGAACUCUCCAGAAUGUGUUCAGAGACAGGAAGCGUGUCACCAUUCCGUCGGGCGAAGACAAUCAUUAUCGUCUGGAUACCGACAAAACCGGGUAAGCCGAGCCGGCUACGGCGACGCCAUCUUUCCGACGCCAACGGCAAAGCGAAUCCCUACAUCAACGGCUGGCAUCUGCUGGCCAAAGCGAAUACGGACUGCAUCGACGCCUUGUUUCAGCAACCCGCCGUUCAAAGCAAACCAGUUUGGUCCGGCGACGGCUCUUCGUUUCCGGUGUCAUCUGCCAGCCAAAGCAAAAUGUUCCCGUCAUCAGAGCUAUCGCUACAGUACCGUCCGCUGGUUGAAGCCCCGGCUUCCCGAAGAGUCAAGAAACACCUCAAGCACAAUCAGAACAAUAUGCGCAAGUACCCCUAAUAACUGUGACGUCAUAAAUAAAUUGUGUACCUAUUAGUUAAGCCAAACAA